rnacentral:rRNA from 1 species
AUUGAACGCUGGCGGCAGGCCUAACACAUGCAAGUCGAGCGCUUCUAGCUUGCUAGAGGAGCGGCGAACGGGUGAGUAACGCGUAGGAAUCUGCCUGGUAGUGGGGGACAACGUCUCGAAAGGGACGCUAAUACCGCAUACGCCCUACGGGGGAAAGGGGGGAUCUUCGGACCUCUCGCUAUCAGAUGAGCCCAUGUCGG